rnacentral:rRNA from 1 species
AGUGAACGCUGGCGGUAGGCCUAACACAUGCAAGUCGAACGGCAGCACAGUAAGAGCUUGCUCUUACGGGUGGCGAGUGGCGGACGGGUGAGGAAUACAUCGGAAUCUACUUUUUCGUGGGGGAUAACGUAGGGAAACUUACGCUAAUACCGCAUACGACCUACGGGUGAAAGCAGGGGAUCUUCGGACCUUGCGCGAUUGAAUGAGCCGAUGUGGGAUUAGCUAGUUGGCGGGUGAAAGGCCCACCCAGGCGACGAUCCGUAGCUGGUCUGAGAGGAUGAUCAGCCACACUGGAACUGAGACACGGUCCAGACUCCUACGGGAGGCAGCAGUGGGGAAUAUUGGACAAUGGGCGCAAGCCUGAUCCAGCCAUACCGCGUGGGUGAAGAAGGCCUUCGGGUUGUAAAGCCCUUUUGUUGGGAAAGAAAAGCAGCAGGUUAAUACCCCGCUGUUCUGACGGUACCCAAAGAAUAAGCACCGGCUAACUUCGUG